AAAGGUGAAAAGAACCCCGGGAGGGGAGUGAAAUAGAACAUGAAACCGUGAGCUUACAAGCAAUGGGAGCCCUACUCAUAGGGUGACCGUGUGCCUGUUGAAGAAUGAGCCGGCGACUUAUAGGCACUGGCAGGUUAAACCGGGAAUGGUGGAGCCAUAGCGAAAGCGAGUCUGAAUAGGGCGAUUGUCAGUGUUUAUAGACCCGAACCCGGGUGAUCUAACCAUGGCCAGGAUGAAGCUUGGGUGAUACCAAGUGGAGGUCCGAACCGACUGAUGUUGAAAAAUCAGCGGAUGAGCUGUGGUUAGGGGUGAAAUGCCAAUCGAACCCGGAGCUAGCUGGUUCUCCCCGAAAUACGUUGAGGCGUAGCGUCUAGUGCUCCAGCAGGGGGGUAAAGCCACUGUUUCGGUGCGGGCUGCGAGAGCGGUACCAAAUCGAGACAAACUCUGAAUACCCUGUGUGUAACUAGGCAGUCAGACUGUGGGGGAUAAGCUCCAUGGUCGAAAGGGAAACAGCCCAGACCGCCAGCUAAGGUCCCCAAAUCAACGCUAAGUGAUAAAGGAGGUGGGAUUGCCCAGACAACCAGGAGGUUUGCCUAGAAGCAGCCAUCCUCAAAGGAGUGCGUAAUAGCUCACUGGUCGAGCGAUCCUGCGCCGAAAAUGAACGGGGCUAAGCGUUGUACCGAAGCUGCGGAUUAAACUUGUUUAAUGGUAGGGGAGCGUUCCAUGUGGGGUGAAGCGUUAGCGUAAGCGGGCGUGGACUGCAUGGAAGUGAGAAUGUCGGCUUGAGUAGCGAAAAAAUGGGUGAGAAUCCCAUUCCCCGAAACCCUAAGGGUUCCUCCGGCAGGCUCGUCCGCGGAGGGUUAGUCAGGACCUAAGGCGAGGCCGAAAGGCGUAGUCGAUGGACAACAGGUCAACAUUCCUGUACUGAUCAUGUUUUGGGAAGGGGGACGGAGAAGGCUAGCCAAUCCGGAUGUUGGUUACCGGUCCAAGCGUUCGAGGCGUUGAGAGCUGGCGAAAACAGCUUGAGCUGAGGCGUGAGUGCGAGCUUCUACGGAAGCGAAGUUGGUGACGUCAAGCUUCCAAGAAAAGCCCUAUACCCGUUAAGGCAUGAUUACCUGUACCCGAAACCGACACAGGUGGGGUGGUAGAGAAUACCGAGGGGCGCGAGGUAACUCUCUCUAAGGAACUCGGCAAAAUGACCCCGUAACUUCGGGAGAAGGGGUGCCAGCGCGAGCUGGUCGCAGUGAAUAGGCCCAGGCGACUGUUUACCAAAAACACAGGUCUCCGCUAAGUCGCAAGACGAUGUAUGGGGGCUGACGCCUGCCCAGUGCCGGAAGGUUAAAGAAGUUGGUCAGCGCAAGCGAAGCUAACGACUGAAGCCCCGGUGAACGGCGGCCGUAACUAUAACGGUCCUAAGGUAGCG
rnacentral:rRNA from 14 species